rnacentral:rRNA from 1 species
GACGAACGCUGGCGGCGUGCUUAACACAUGCAAGUGGUGCGACGAACCAGGCUUCGGCCUGGGGCAGAGCCGCCAACGGGUGAGUAACACGUGGGCAACCUGCCCUGUUGAUCGGGACAACCCGGGGAAACCCGGGCUAAUACCGAAUGUGGUGCCGGCUCAUGAGAGCCGUCACGAAAGGAGGCUUCGGCCUCCGCGACAGGAUGGGCCCGCGGCCCAUUAGCUUGUUGGUGGGGUAAUGGCCUACCAAGGCAACGAUGGGUAGCUAGUCUGAGAGGACGAUCAGCCACACUGGGACUGAGACACGGCCCAGACUCCUACGGGAGGCUGCAGUGGGGAAUCUUGCGCAAUGAGCGACAGCUUGACGCAGCAACGCCGCGUGGGGGAAGAAGGCUUUCGGGUCGUAAACCCCUUUCAGUUAGGACGAAGCUUUAUUGGUUAAUAACCAAUUGGAGUGACGGUACUUUCAGAAGAAGCCCCGGCUAACUACGUGCCAGCCGCCGCCGUAA